AACAGAACAAGAAUGGAAUUGCUACCAUAAUUAUUAGCAGUUGAUUGGAAUGCAAAAGCCAAUAUAUUAUUAAUGCAAAAGUACUUAAAACAUGUAGUUUUAUACCUUGCUAAAAUAAGAUAUAAAGGCUAGACCAAUUUCACCUUACCUUUAAGGUUCAAAUUUUAUUUACAAAAUAUUAGUAAAGGUGAGCUGUAUACAAUGAAAAGGUAAUCUGUAAUAGAUAGAAAUGAUCUAGCAAGCCAAGAAUAAUAAAGAAAAACUUCAGUCAUAUAAUGCUGAGUGAAAGAAGCUGAACUAAGAAAGCAACCCAGUCUGAUUCUAACUGAGCUUUUCAGCAAAGGGCAAAAGCAUAGAGAUGUUAAGAAAAUAAAACUAAUAAACAAAUAAACAAACAAAGAAAGAAACAGUGGUUGCCAGGGGUUUGGGUACAGGAAGGAGAACACUGAAAGAGCAAAAGAAGUAUUUUAAGGCAUUGGACUUAGGGUGUAUUCUAUUGGAACAGUGAAAACAUGAUAUUAUGAACUUGUUGAAAUUUGUGUACUGUCAGGAGUGUGAUCCACUGUUCAUUUCCCUAUCUCAGUGAUAAGAACUUGUGUGACUUAAAAUAUCAAAUACGUUGUAUGCAAACAUUGUUUUUCAAUUAAAAAAUCAAUGAACUGUUUAACAUUAACAAAAGAACAAACAGUCUAAAGUAGGGACUAUAUCAUAAUGAUCAAUUUGGUUCAUUGAUUGCAGCAAAAAAUAUCACAGUAAUGCAAGACAC
rnacentral:lncRNA from 1 species